rnacentral:ncRNA from 2 species
UUAGUUCGAGAAUGCAAGGAAACACGUUGCGUAAAUUGGUCGCUUGUAACGUGCGGAGCAAGUAGCGAAACCGGUCUCUAUGUUG